GUUUUAAGAAAAGUUCGUAUCCAUAUAUAUAAACGUUUAU
rnacentral:sRNA from 1 species